rnacentral:lncRNA from 1 species
GGUGGCUUCCUGGCCUAAGUACUCUUCGACAUAACUCCUUUAAAAACCUUUUUUAUUUCUUUUAGGCCAGUUCCACCCUUGCAGUACUGCCCAUUAUAAAACCUGACAACACCAUACGGACAGUCCUGAAAACUAAAACCAAGUUGUGUUACUUUUUAAAUAGAUACCACACAGAGCCUCGUCCAGCCUUGCGUAUCAUCAAUUCACUUCAACACAGUAACAUUUCAAAACAGGGAAAACUAAUUGACAGCCUGAAGGCUAAAUCCAGUUCCACAAGAUGGUUUUACUUGGAUCCCACCAUGGCCUAGAGCAACACUACGCAUCAGGUACUGUGCUAAACAAUUUGCUCAGCCCACAGGAGAGCUGGAAAGAAAGAAAAGG